AGCCUUAGAUUAUCUGUCUUGUAAAACUUUAUAAGAAGCUAAAACACAAUUGCCAGGCAGAGGUUUAUUUUAACAUUUUCUUAUUGGAGGUUCUUAGUAGGAAAAUGGCUGUGAUAGUUAGACUUCCUUUGAGGUUUGUUUCUUAGAUUUGUUGAUCUAUUUGCCUUGGGUUUUACCUAGUAAAACUGAUUGGUUGAAUGUUUUGUAGAGUUUCUUGGAUAAGUUGCCUGCUAAUUGGAGGUGACUAUGAAUAUAUUCAACAAGUUACAUCAAAACCAACCAGCUCAAAUACUCCAGGUUUUGUCAUCUGCUUGAAUCAGCCAGGGAUUUGGUGUCCAUUGGGUAAAUCUAGAUGGGUCCCACUUUGAAGAAAACAUUAGCGGGGGCCUAAUUGAAUACAAAAUGGAGACAUGACCUCACCUCUGCUGUCUUUGUGUUGUACAAUAAAAGCUCAUCUUAAAAGUGCCUCAUUGUGUUUUAGGA